rnacentral:rRNA from 1 species
AUACGUAGGGGGCGAGCGUUGUCCGGAAUGAUUGGGCGUAAAGGGCGCGUAGGCGGCCCGGUAAGUCUGGAGUGAAAGUCCUGUUUUUAAGAUGGGAAUUGCUUUGGGUACUGUCGGGCUUGAGUGCAGGAGAGGUAAGUGGAAUUCCCAGUGUAGCGGUGAAAUGCGUAGAGAUUGGGAGGAACACCAGUGGCGAAGACGACUUACUGGACUGUAACUGACGCUGAGGCGCGAAAGUGUGGGGAGCAAACAGGAUUAGAUACCCUGGUAGUCCACACUGUAAACGAUGAAUGCUAGGUGUAGGGGGUAUCGACCCCUUCUGUGCCGCAGUCAACACAAUAAGCAUUCCGCCUGGGGAGUACGGCCGCAAGGUUGAAACUCAAAUGAAUUGACGGGG